CUGUGCGUGUGACAGCGGCUAA
rnacentral:ncRNA from 24 species